rnacentral:rRNA from 1 species
AAACAUGUCUUUUUGAGUUGAAUUAAAAGUCUGACCUGCCCACUGAGUAAUUUUAAAUGGCCGCAGUAUUUUGACUGUGCAAAGGUAGCAUAAUCAUUUGUCUUUUAAUUGAAGGCUGGUAUGAAUGGUUGGAUGAGAUAUAAGCUGUUUCAUGUAAAUUUAUUAUAGAAUUUUAUAUUUUAGUUAAAAAGCUAAAAUUUUAUUAAAAGACGAGAAGACCCUAUAAAUCUUUAUAUUUUUUAUUAUUUUAAUUUUUUAGAUUUAUUUUAUUUUUAUAUUAAAAAAUAUUUUGUUGGGGUGAUUUUAAAAUUUAAUGAACUUUUAAUUUUUAAAAUCAUUAAUUUAUGAAUUGUUGAUCCAGUUUAAUACUGAUUAUAAGAUUAAGUUACUUUAGGGAUAACAGCGUAAUUUUUUUUGAGAGUUCAUAUCGAUAAAAAAGUUUGCGACCUCGAUGUUGGAUUAAGGAAUAAUUUUGGGUGUAGCUGUUCAAAUAUUAAGUCUGUUCGACUUUUAAAUUCUUACAUGAUC